rnacentral:pre_miRNA from 15 species
CCCAAACAAUUUUUCAUUGCUUGUACUUUCCAAAGAAUUCUCCUUUUGGGCUUUCUGAUUUUAUUUUAAGCCCAAAGGUGAAUUUUUUGGGAAGUUUGAGCUAAAUUCCUUCAACCAAAAU